GGUUUAGAGUCUAGGACCUGCAUAGUCUGGUCCGGAUUAUGCAGGUCUUAGAUUUUAAAUUAUGUAGCUUUAGAUGGAAUAUCAGUACCUUCUUAUGUGCAUGAGGUUUUAACAUUAGGCCCAAAUAUUUUAAUCCAGAAUAUUCCGUCGUGGCAGAAUAUGGCAAUACAACUGGAGCCAGCCUUAUCUGAUUGUCAUCCGAUACAGGCAGAAGAGUUACGGUGGCAAAUAGCAUCCUCUAUUAAGAACUUUAAUGGUGCAGAAUUGAAAGCAACAUGUAACAAAGUUAGAGCUGCUAAAGAGUGGUUGGAUUCAAAUAACAUCGUUUGUGCGCAUGAUGAUAAGACUCGGAUGAUAAUUCUUCUCAAUAAAGGAACUUAUGAUACGUAUUUAAAUGCCUUCCUAGAGCAAAGUAGAAGUC
rnacentral:lncRNA from 1 species